ensembl:lncRNA
AUGAAUCUACUAGUCAUAUUUGCCUACAUUAAAAUAUUCACAGCUGGUAGGGUUCAUCAGCAGCACGACCUGGCUUGUACCACAGCUGAAGCAGAACAGUGUGACUGGAUGGUACUGGCCAAACACUGUAUGUGGACUAAAAGAAGACAGAGUACUGAGCCUCCUUCUCUGGGAUGCUUUGGGACAAGGAUCCUCCACAAUCUCCCAUGUGCCAGAAAUGACAGUGCCCUCCACACGCCCUCCUCCUGGAGCCUGGGAGCCUUCCCAUCCCAGCCUUGCCUGGGUGCUAACUGUGGGAGACAGCCCGCCUGAAACACUGAGCAGGGCAGCCAGCCACUUCUGCCCUUCGCAGACCCAGUCCAACACGUUAAAAUAUUUAUCUGUGUCAGAGAGAGGCUCAACCUGUCUGCAGCAUUGCAUCUUGGGUUUUUAUUUUAUAAUUAAACCCGUAAACAACACACUGGUGCUACAUAGAUUAAAGCAUAGAGAUAUAUGGAAUUAAAGUUGAUUUCAGAAUAGAAAUCAAAACAUAUAUAUAUUUUUCCAAAUGCUUGUUCAUUUAAGGGACUGUUUAACUAAGCAUCUAUUUAAAUAGG